UACGUAGGGGGCAAGCGUUGUCCGGAGUUACUGGGCGUAAAGGGCGUGUAGGUGGUUUUCGUAAGUCUGGCGUGAAAUUUCUCGGCUUAACCGAGGCAGGUCGUCGGAUACUGCGGAACUUGAGGACGGUAGAGGCGUGUGGAAUUCCGGGUGUAGUGGUGAAAUGCGUAGAGAUCCGGAAGAACACCGGUGGCGAAGGCGGCCUGCUGGGCAGUAGCUGACACUGAGGCGCGAAAGCAUGGGUAGCAAACAGG
rnacentral:rRNA from 1 species